rfam:Moellerella wisconsensis ATCC 35017 Sequence00014, whole genome shotgun sequence.
AUCUCUCUGAGAUGUUCGUCAACGGGCGAGUCCCCUGAGCCGAUAUUUCGAAAGAAAAGAAUGUGGUUGAUGCGCUGGUGAGCAUGCCUGGAACGUUCAGGAAGCCUAAAGGUUGCGAUGCUGCGUUCACCUUGAACCAAGGGUUCAAGGGUUACAGCCUGUAACGGCAUCUUGGAGACCCA